AAUCAACGCUGGCGGCGCGCUUAACACAUGCAAGUCGAACGAGAAAGUGGAGCAAUCCAUGAGUAAAGUGGCGUACGGGUGAGUAACACGUGGAUCAUCUACCUUUUAGUGGGGAAUACCGCUGGGAAACCGGCGACAAUACCGCAUAAGCCCGGGAGGGGAAAGCGUCUCACGCAAGUGAGGCGCGCUAGAAGAGGAGUCCGCGGCUGAUUAGCUAGUUGGUGAGGUAAGAGCUCACCAAGGCAACGAUCAGUAGCCGGCCUGAGAGGGCACACGG
rnacentral:rRNA from 1 species